rnacentral:rRNA from 1 species
UCGAGAAUCUUUCGCAAUGGGGGAAACCCUGACGACGCGACGCCGCGUGGAGGAUGAAGGCCUUCGGGUUGUAAACUCCUGUCAGCAGGGGAGAACAAGCUUUUGAUGAAUAAUUGAGAGCUUUGACAGUACCUGCAGAGGAAGCCACGGCUAACUCUGUGCCAGCAGCCGCGGUAAUACAGAGGUGGCCAGCGUUGUUCGGAUUUAUUGGGCGUAAAGGGGCCGUAGGCGGCCUGAAAAGUUGGAUGUGAAAUCCCACAGCUUAACUGUGGAACUGCAUUCAAAACUCU